AUUUUGAAAUUCGGGUUUAGACAAAAAGAUAUUUCAAGCUCCUGAAGAACAAGUUUGAAGGAUUCAGAGCAGAGAAUUGCACCCUGGCAUGAUGCCUAUGCCAGCUGGACUGUGUGAUUUUUGUUCUUUAGUAGAAGGAUAACAUGACAUAGCAGGAAUAAUACUGCCUUUUCUUUCUGGCAUGGAUCAAGAGAAAAGAAAAUACAAGAAAACAGACAGAAGAUCCUAUCUGCGACAAUUAAGAGCACUCUAAGAGGAAAACACAUCCCACCACACAAGGCAAGGUACUUCUAUGGAAGGGUGAGCCCUCACAGAUGGAGCAAUGGGGCGCGCACACCUGAACAAGGGAGGGGAAGGAGUUCUUAUCCCUGAUGCAUGUGACCCCUGCUGCUGUGUCCUUCCCCUAUUGGCUAAGGUUAGACCACACAGCCUAAACUAAUUCCGAUUGGCUAAUUCAAAGAGAGCGACGGGGGCUUCUGACAGCUUUGGAGAUUGUGACAUUGGAAUAAAGGAAAAACGUACAGGACUCAUGAAGCGCUGAAAUGUUCACAAAUAUCAAGCAAAAGUCAAUGAAAUUUAUUUUGAGCUAUUUACAUCAUUUAAUAAUUGAGCAAGGUAUACUCCUAUGAACAAAAUUUGGAGCAUGUUUGUCUCUCUCUGCCUGGCGUCUUCAGAAUUUGGAAACUAGUUAGUCAUGGAAAUUUAUUUUGAGCUAUUUACAGCAUUUAAUAAUUGAGCAAGGUAUACUCCUAUGAACAAAAUUUGGAGCAUGUUUGUCUCUCUCUGUCUGCCUGGCAUCUACAGAAUUUGGAAACUAGUUUCGUUCCCAGAUUUCCUAAACUUUCCAGAGAAAAUGGUCUUCUCCCUGGCUCAGCAAGAAGAUGAACUUUAAACACUGAGAAACUGGUCAUCUCCCUGGCUCAACCAGAAGAUGAACUUUAAACACUACUCUCAAUGACUUGAUGUUCCCAUCACUACUCCUGUCAUAAAGGGAGGGGACUCAGAUAUUGAGAAUUUUAUGAUAGUGUGAACUGUCUGGUAUGUCAUUUAAGUAAGCCCGUUGCUGAAAUAUUUUCCAUGUUAUUAGAAAGAGCUGAAGAGAGGGAUUGAGAUGGCUUCUUUAUUUUUUGUCUUUUGGGAAUUAAAGGAACCUGGUUCAACAAGGGCCUACACCUAAGUCUCUUGUUGUACCAGAGUACAAUUUAGGACUGCUCCUGAGGAAGGAAUUAGCUAGAAAUCUAGAGAGUAAGGGUAACAGAUUUACAUAGAAUAACAGCCUCAGUAUUUUUGGUUCCUCUCCAGUAAAGAUCACAAAGAAUAUUGCUAAAUCGCUAAAACACCUUUGCAAUAACGUAAGGGCUUACAACUAUAUACCAAUGUAGCUCAGUUACUAAACUGGAGUAAACUAAUUUCUCUUGUGUAGAAAAAUUGGUUGGCUGUGGUUUUAUAGCAGAUCUGCAAUUAUUAAUAGUUAUGCCAAUAAUCGUUUAACAGUGCAUAUGUUAAUAUAUAUGGAAAGACAAUGUGUAUAGACAGAUGUGUAAAAUUGAAAAAUAAACAUAUAACAAGAGAGAAACAUCUAUCGAACAGACAAUAUACAUACACAUCAAACACAACAGCAGUUUUAGUGACCAUAAUAUUUAUUUCUCAUUUUUACAUUGCUUACUUUAGUGACAACUGAAAAUGACAGUUGGCAAUGCAGCUAACAGUUUCAAUAAAAGUAUAAAACAAAAGACUGUGUACAAA
ensembl:lncRNA LINC00320 long intergenic non-protein coding RNA 320